rnacentral:rRNA from 1 species
UACGUAGGGUGCAAGCGUUAAUCGGAAUUACUGGGCGUAAAGCGUGCGCAGGCGGUGAUGUAAGACAGGUGUGAAAUCCCCGGGCUUAACCCUGGGAACUGCAUUUGUGACUGCAUCGCUGGAGUGCGGCAGAGGGGGAUGGAAUUCCGGCGUGUAGCAGUGAAAUGCGUAGAUAUGCGGAGGAACACCGAUGGCGAAGGCAAUCCCCUGGGCCUGCACUGACGCUCAUGCACGAA